UACGAAGGGUGCAAGCGUUAAUCGGAAUUACUGGGCGUAAAGCGUGCGUAGACGCCUGUUAUGUCGGAUGUGAAAGCCCUUGGCUUAACUGAGGAAGUGCAUCCGAAAACUGGCAGGCUAGAGUACUAAAGAGGGUCGCGGAAUUCCCGGUGUAGAGGUGAAAUUCGUAGAUAUCGGGAGGAACACCGGUGGCGAAGGCGGCAUCCUGGACCGGUAUUGACGCUGAGGCGCGAAAAGCCAGGGGAGCAAACGGGG
rnacentral:rRNA from 1 species